rnacentral:rRNA from 1 species
UGGGGAAUUUUGCACAAUGGGCGCAAGCCUGAUGCAGCGACGCCGCGUGAGGGAUGAAGGCCUUCGGGUUGUAAACCUUUUUCGCUCAUGGUCAAGCCGCAGCUUUGGGUUGUGGUGAGGGUAGUGGGUAAAGAAGCGCCGACUAACUACGUGCCAGCAGCCGCGGUAAUACGUAGGGCGCGAGCGUUGUCCGGAAUUAUUGGGCGUAAAGGGCUUGUAGGCGGUUGGCCGCGUCUGCCGUGAAAUCCUCUGGCUUAACUGGGGGCGUGCGGUGGGUACGGGUUGACUUGAGUGCGGUAGGGGAGACUGGAAUUCCUGGUGUAGCGGUGGAAUGCGCAGAUAUCAGGAGGAACACCGGUGGCGAAGGCGGGUCUCUGGGCCGUUACUGACGCUGAGGAGCGAAAGCGUGGGGAGCGAACAGG